rnacentral:rRNA from 1 species
CGGCACGGGUGAGUAACACGUAUCCAACCUGCCGUCUACUCUUGGACAGCCUUCUGAAGGAAGAUUAAUACAAGAUGGCAUCAUGAGUCCGCAUGUUCACAUGAUUAAAGGUAUUCCGGUAGACGAUGGGGAUGCGUUCCAUUAGAUAGUAGGCGGGGUAACGGCCCACCUAGUCUUCGAUGGAUAGGGGUUCUGAGAGGAAGGUCCCCCACAUUGGAACUGAGACACGGUCCAA